rnacentral:rRNA from 1 species
AGGACGAACGCUGGCGGCGUGCUUAACACAUGCAAGUCACGGGGGGUCGCAAGACCAACCGGCGAACGGGUGCGUAACACGUGAGCAACCUACCGAUUUGAGGGGGAUAGCCGGCCCAACGGCCGGGUAAUACCGCAUACGCUUGUAAGGCCUCCUGGUCUAACAAGGAAACCUCCGGGGCAGAUCGAGGGGCUCGCGGCCUAUCAGCUAGUUGGUGAGGUUACGGCUCACCAAGGCGACGACGGGUAGCUGGUCUGAGAGGAUGGCCAGCCACAUUGGGACUGAGAAACGGCCCAGACUCCUACGGGAGGCAGCAGUGGGAAUCUUGCGCAAUGGACGAAAGUCUGACGCAGCGACGCCGCGUGGGGGAUGAAGGCUUUCGGGUUGUAAACCCCUGUUGCCCGGGACGAACUUCCUGUUUCGACAGGAUUGACGGUACCGGGUGAGGAAGCACCGGCUAACUCCGUGCCAGCAGCCGC